rnacentral:rRNA from 1 species
GAGUUCAUAAACGGAUUAAACAUGCAGCAAAGGAUGUACAUCCAGUUGAUAGGAUUGGGUGGACUUCUCAAGACACCUAGCAUCAAAAUUAGACGUGUACUCUGCCUAGCCAUCGCUAAUUCAUAUGAUGCAGAGCAGGAUGCCUUUAUCAUCAAUGGGAGACCAUGUAGGAUCACAUUAGAAGAUGUAGCGCAUGUAACAGGCAUGCCCUGUCAUGGGAAGAAGCACGUCCCUUCAAAUCUUGAUGAUAAUAUGGAGUUGUGGAAGAAACUGAAAGACCGUAAUGACACCAAAAUAACUUUCAAAGGAUUGCUAGCCAAGAUGAAAGUCGACAGCAGACCAAAUUUUGUCAGGCCAUUUGUGUUGUACACCAUAGGCAGAUAUGUAUGCCGAACAAAAGAGGAGUAUGUGGAUAACAAAUAUAUUGGGACUGUUAGAAACAUUGAGACGAUAAAGGGCACAAAUCUUGGACAGCUAACGCUUGACUAUCUUAUGGAUAGCGUGAAGAAUUUUGUAAAUGGUGAGGCAAUUCUAGAGGGGAAUCUACCUCUGCUGCAGGUA